AGAGCUGGAGCCGGAGCCGGGCGGGCGCCAUGGAGGGGCUGCGGCGGGGGCUGUCGCGCUGGAAGCGCUACCACAUCAAGGUGCACCUGGCGGACGAGGCGCUGCUGCUACCGCUGACCGUGCGGCCGCGGGACACGCUCAGCGACCUGCGCGCCCAGCUGGUGGGCCAGGGCGUGAGCUCCUGGAAGCGCGCCUUCUACUACAACGCGCGGCGGCUGGACGACCACCAGACGGUGCGCGACGCGCGCCUGCAGGACGGCUCGGUGCUGCUGCUCGUCAGCGACCCCAGGUAGUCUGGGUUGGAGGAGGCAGAGCCAUGACCAAGGGGACCUGGGUACUGGCUGAAGGAAUAGGCUGGGGUAGAGGGCACUUUUGGAAGGCACUUCUCCUGCCUCCCGGGAGCCUAGAUCUCACUCCAGGGUCUGGGCUCCCAGGUGGACCAUGAAACCCUGGCCUGACCAGCUGAUGCACACUGCUUCAGACACUCCUGCUGGAGCCCCAGUCCCUGACAAGGACCUAGGACAUUUUUGCUCCUGCCCAGCCUAUCGGGAGGGAGCCUUGAGCCUUUCAGCUCUGCUGUGUGACUUUGAGGUUGUUGCUCCCCUCUUGGGGCCCUGGGUGCCCUGUCUUCAGUGGAAAGCACUGUGCCACCUUGGAAAGCUCCCAUGGGCAGCCAGAGGGCAUCGCAAGAAGAGAAGCACAGAAGGGGCAGGAGAGACACUCAGAGGCACUUCCGCUCUUGCCCAGGACAUUUUCCCAGCCACACCUUUGCCCAAGCCGUGCCCCCUGCCUGGAGCACUUUUCAACCUCUUCUCUGCAGCUCCAAUACACCUGGGAUUGCAGUCUCCUCCAGGAAGUCUUCUCAGAUUCCCUCCUUCCCAGCCAGAGAGCACCUAGCCUUCUUUGGGGCCCCCACAGGCCCUUUGUGCAGUGAACAGCCCUGGCUGGGGGUGCAGCCAGUCGUGUCCGAACUCUCCAAUGACUAAGCGGGGAGAUGCGGACAUCCUAGCUCCUUCUCAGGCCUCCAACUGUGCCCCAUUUCCACCCCCAAAUACCUCCCCAGGAGGCACCUGUGCCCACCCCCUGGGCUGUUUCCCCCUUCCCCUUAAAUCCGGAUGCCUCGUCUUGCAUAGGGUCUUGGGGCAGCGGGGAAGGGGUUCUGAAGAACUCUGGCCAAGAGGACGAGGAUCUGGGGGUGGGGAACUGGGCCUAGCUGUGGGAGGUCAUCGCGGGGCAUUGCAGGGAGUGCGUUGUGGGAAUUCCGGGUGGAGACCCUCAGGGCAGUGUGCCGGGCCUCCGUUGCACCUCUGACCUGCAGCCACGUCAUCGUUGCGCAGCCCCUGGGGAGGGUCUUUGGGGAGGGGGUGCCGAGGCUACGCAUGUCCUCGAGGGCCGUGUACACUCUCCAGGCACCAUGGGCGGAGGCGCCAGAGGCUGGGAAGAAAUAAUGUUUUAGUUAAGAGUCCUGUUGGCUGCAGGACUCAGAGCAUGGACAGGUGGAUAGUAAAUCACCACCACGGGGACAGCCGUGCCCAGACUGUGCGUUUGCUUAGCUCGGGGACAGCACUUGGCCCGGGGUCUCCUGCUCGCCUCCCUUCAGAGCAUCUGCCAAACUUCGGGCAUCUACCCUGCAAUUCCCGCUUGGCUGAGAGGAGGGGGAGAAGGAGGGGAAGAGAGAGGAGCCCCACUUCACUCCGGCAGGCAGACCUGCUGGAGCUGCUUUGCAGAAUGACUUGGGUCUUGCUGGCCCCUGGGUGUGCCUGGAGGGGGGUCUUCCUAUCCCCCUCCACCUCUCCCCUUGGUGCCUAACCCAGGACUUUGUCCCCAGAGACCCACUGUGUGCCCCCUGGAGCUCCUCCUAGAGCAGAGUCUGCUGCUGUCUGUUCUGCAGAGGGUAGCCUGAGGCCCAAGGAGGUUGUCAGGGACACACAGCAGGGGGAGGCAGCCCAGAUCCCUGCUCAUGCGUGGUUUGGGCCUCUGCUAACAGCUGGGCCACAUGCGUGUAUCUAGAGCCUGGGUCCCCUCUGUCCUCAUUUCCCUGUGCAUAUUCAGGGACAUGCCUCGUCAGGGUUUGGCAAGAAAAUGGGGCAUUUAAUAAUCUCCCCAGUUUCAUUCCUUGGUCCUUACUCCAUGCCAGGACUUGUGCACAUCUUUUUGGAGCCCUGUCUCACUUGAUUGACAGCCGGCCAGGCGCGGUGGCUCACGCCUGUAAUCCCAGCACUUUGGGAGGACGAGGCAGGCGGAUCAUGAGGUCAGGAGAUGGAGACCAUCCUGGCUAACACGGUGAAACCCCGUCUCUACUAAAAGUACAAAAAAAAUAGCCGGGCCUGGUGGCGGGCGCCUGUAGUCCCAGCUACUUGGUAGGCUGAGGCAGGAGAAUGGCGGGAACCCGGGAGGCAGAGGUUGCAGUGAGCUGAGAUCACGCCACUGCACUCCAGCCUGGGCGACAGAGCGAGACUCCGUCUCAAAAAAAAAAAAAAAAAAGAUUGACAGCCUCACUGCUCAGGGGCCAGGAUAACAGCCCAUUUUACAGAUGGCUUUUGGCUUGCCCAAGGUCACCACCCUCUGAACUGAGGCGUCCCCAACCCAUGCCGGGAGCUGGUGGAGGAAGUGGGGAAGGGUUUCCCGCUUCUCCACUGGGGGUGGAGGUGGGAGAAAGCAUUUUCAGGGUGUUUUGACAUUUAACAAACAGUAUGCAAAUCACAUGCAAAUCGCAUGCAAAUCACCACCCAUUUCUUAAGCCUCGACAGCGCUGGCAUGUUCUGAAAUAAUAAUGUUGGACCUGUCCCUUGAUGAUGACCUGGGUCGGGAGGUGCACGGCCUUUUCCUUCCUCCGUCUUCCCUUCCCUUCCCUUCCCUUCCCAUCUGUUCUCCCUUCCUUCGCCCCCUUCCUUUCCUCUCCCUCCCUAUCUUCCAUUUUUCUCUUCUUCCUUCACAUCAUUUGUCCAAGACCUCCCUGGCCUGAGAUAAACAUAAGUUGCAAAAGUGGCUUCCUGCAGCCCAUUUUCCAGGUUGGGAAACUGAGGCAUGGGCCUAAGGUCCCACAGCCACACCGAGGAAAGCAGCCCCCACUGAAUGUCACCAUGCACCAAAGUGCAUGGUCCUCGUGACACAAAGAGGGGAGAUGACAGUGGCUGGAGUUGUCAGAGCUGCUUUGAGGAAGCUCCAGGCCUGAUAGGCUUGACAGGGCCAAGGGGAACUAUUGUGGAAUGUCUUGGCCUUGAAUGACAGGCUGCUGAUUUUGGAUCUGGAGAAAGCUCACACUGACUCUUCCUGCUCCCCCAGUCUGUUUUUCUCCUGCUACUCCAUCCAUGUAUCCCUGAGUUUGGGCCACAGUCCCUCCACUUGGUUUGCAUGUCCCACCUUCUUUGUUUGGCAAGCUCCUAUUCAUCCUUCAAAGCCCUAGCUUCAAUACCUGCUACUUCAUGCAGCCAUUGCUUAUCCUUCAAGGAGAGCCUACUUCCCUCAAGGACCCUGCUGCUUCCAGUCUCACCUUCUGACUCACUCGGGAUCCACUGAACUGGGAGGUCUGUGUCUCCUCCCAGCAGAGUCAUCACUACCUUUGGGGCCGCAGGAUCACCCAGCUUGGAACUAGAUACAGAAAUGCUGUUUUGAGAGUGUACUGAAUAAAAGAUUACAUGUUUGAAAACAA
rnacentral:lncRNA from 1 species